GCGGGUAUGGUGUAGCGGCAGCACACGACCCUUCCAAGGUCUUAGCAUCGGUUCGAAUCCGAUUACCCGCU
rnacentral:tRNA from 1 species